rnacentral:rRNA from 1 species
UACGAAGGGGGCUAGCGUUGCUCGGAAUCACUGGGCGUAAAGGGUGCGUAGGCGGGUCUUUAAGUUUGCUGUGAAAUCUCCCGGCUUAACCGGGAGGGUGCGGUGAAUACUGAGGGACUAGAGUACGGGAGAGGAAAGUGGAAUUCCUGGUGUAGCGGUGAAAUGCGUAGAUAUCAGGAGGAACACCGGUGGUGUAGACGGCUUCUGGACCGACACUGACGCUGAGACACGAAAGCGUGGGUAGCAAACAGG